ensembl:lncRNA
CAUUUCCUGACUUUCUAGUGGGCUGGAGGGUGCUGACCCAGGGUGUGAGGGAUUUUCUUGGGCAUCCACCAAGGGCAGGCACAAAGCACCCUGUUCUCGGGCAGAAAGAAGGGGAGCUCCCAGCGUCGCAGCUGGUGACAAGCAGCUCCAAAUGGCACCUUCCUUGCCAAUGGAAAGGUACAGAGGUGGAGCAGGCAGCGGGAUGGCCUCUGAGCAAUUCCCCGGUCUAUACUCCACCCUGACAGGAGCUCCUGGUUUUGGAGGCACGAACAUCCUUACCAAGCUGUGUCCAGGCUGUGAUGCUAACAUUAGACAACAGAGAGGUGACUCAGUCCUUUCAGUACAUGUUUCCGUGUUCCCAGCUGCUGUAGGAAAUAAACAAUGAUAACCCUGGUCAGCAUUUUAUCGGAGAGCAGCUUAUGGAGUAGAGUCAUUAGUCUCAUGUCACAGAUAGGGAAAGGGAUGGUGAUACAAAGAGUGAAUGGCCUUUCCUGAUGCUACCAAGAAGAAGAGUGCCAGAGGUGGGAGAAGGAUCAUAUUGUUGUUCUAUCUGUCAGACCAUGCUAUUUUAGAAUGGUGUGUGGCUUGAGAGAGCAAGGCUAAAAAGACACACACAAAAAAAAAAAGACAAAUCAUAGAGACUGGUGAGGAAGCCACAGACCAAAUGCAGGUUCACAUCUGCCUAUGGUGCAGAGAACUAUGUCUUUGAAUGCUGUUUCUCCAGUGGAUGAAUACAAGCAAACAGCCAGCCCCGGGCAUUGCACAUGCCUGUGAGAUACGGUGUGUGUGUCUUACCUGGGCUGCCAUUUCCAGUGGCUCCCAG